GAUCGAGUUGUAAUUUGAAGAAGCGUUUUCUGCGUAUUUGAUCAGCCUAAGUCCUAUUGAAUGAGGCAUCACGGAGGGUGAUAAUCCCGUCCGGUUGAUCAUUUGCGUUUUACGAUACGCUUUCUAAGAGUCAAGUUGUUUGGGAUUGCAGCUUAAAAUGGGAGGUAAAUUUCUCCUAAGGCUAAAGAACGGCGAGAGACCGAUAGCGAACAAGUACC
rnacentral:rRNA from 1 species